rnacentral:rRNA from 1 species
AACGAACGCUGGCGGCAUGCCUAACACAUGCAAGUCGAACGAGACCUUCGGGUCUAGUGGCGCACGGGUGCGUAACGCGUGGGAACCUGCCCUUAGGUUCGGAAUAACUCCCCGAAAGGGGUGCUAAUACAGGAUAAUGUCUUCGGACCAAAGAUUUAUCGCUUUUGGAUGGGCCCGCGUUGGAUUAGCUAGUUGGUAGGGUAAAAGCCUACCAAGGCGACGAUCCAUAGCUGGUCUGAGAGGAUGAUCAGCCACACUGGGACUGAGACACGGCCCAGACUCCUACGGGAGGCAGCAGUGGAGAAUAUUGGACAAUGAGCGAAAGCCUGAUCCAGCAAUGCCGCGUGAGUGAUGAAGGCCUUAGGGUUGUAAAGCUCUUUGACCCGGGAUGAUAAUGACAGUACCGGGAGAAUAAGCUCCGGCUAACUCCGUG